AGUGACGAUAGCCUAGGAGAUACACCUGUACCCAUGCCGAACACAGCAGUUAAGCCCUAGAACGCCUGAAGUAGUUGGGGGUUGCCCCCUGUUAGAUACGGUAGUCGCU
rnacentral:rRNA from 2 species